UCUUGGGUAUUAAGGAGUUCAUUCCGCAUGAGUAUCAGUUUACAACCUGAAGGCCUUCUUCUUUCACGCGGUAUUGCUGGAUCAAGGUUGCCCCCAUUGUCCAAAAUUCCCCAGUGCUGCCUCCCGUAGG
rnacentral:rRNA from 1 species